ACGGGAGGCAGCAGUGGGGAAUCUUGCACAAUGGGCGAAAGCCUGAUGCAGCAACGCCGCGUGCGGGAAGAAGGCCCUAGGGUUGUAAACCGCUUUCAGCAGGGAAGAAAAUGACGGUACCUGUAGAAGAAGGUGCGGCCAACUACGUGCCAGCAGCCGCGGUGACACGUAGGCACCAAGCGUUGUCCGGAUUUAUUGGGCGUAAAGAGCUCGUAGGCGGUUCGGUAAGUCGGGUGUGAAAACUCUGGGCUCAACCCAGAGACGCCACCCGAUACUGCUGUGACUAGAGUGCGGUAGGGGAGCGGGGAAUUCCUGGUGUAGCGGUGAAAUGCGCAGAUAUCAGGAGGAACACCAGUGGCGAAGGCGCCGCUCUGGGCCGUGACUGACGCUGAGGAGCGAAAGCGUGGGUAGCAAACAGGAUUAGAUACCCUGGUA
rnacentral:rRNA from 1 species